rnacentral:rRNA from 1 species
GACGAACGCUGGCGGCGUGCCUAAUACAUGCAAGUCGAGCGAAGUUUUUCUGGUGCUUGCACCGGAAAAACUUAGCGGCGAACGGGUGAGUAACACGUAAAGAACCUGCCUUAUAGACUGGGACAACUAUUGGAAACGAUAGCUAAUACCGGAUAACAGCAUUAACUGCAUGGUUGAUGUUUGAAAGUUGGUUUUGCUAACACUAUGAGAUGGCUUUGCGGUGCAUCAGCUAGUUGGUGGGGUAAAGGCCUACCAAGGCGACGAUGCAUAGCCGACCUGAGAGGGUGAUCGGCCACACUGGGACUGAGACACGGCCCAGACUCCUACGGGAGGCAGCAGUAGGGAAUCUUCCGCAAUGGGCGAAAGCCUGACGGAGCAACGCCGCGUGAGUGAAGAAGGAUUUCGGUUCGUAAAGCUCUGUUGUUAGGGAAGAAUGAUUGUGUAGUAACUAUACACAGUAGAGACGGUACCUAACCAGAAAGCCACGGCUAACUACGUG